GCCUGCCUACACAGCUCUUUGGGACUCCAGGCACGGAGCUCCCCAGAUCCCCGUGGGCGGAAGCAGUGACAGGCGUAGGCUGCUGUUAGCACGGAGAACCGCUCCAGGCUAUACACAGAGCCACACCACCGCCACCUACACAGCUGGUGCUGGCUGCCCAGGACCCCUGCACUCACCUGUCGGUGGCCACAGAGUAUAGAGGGAGAGAGAGGAUGGGGGGCAAGAGCAGACACUGUGAAAUGGGGGACACAGGUCAGGAGGAAGGGACCCCAUUUUGAGGAUUCACAGGAGCCACCCGCAUGUCCCCGAGUGAGGUCAUAGGCAUCGUCCGCAGUUCUGCUGGUCCAUUGCUGAGGAAGCCAAGGAAGGCAGAGUGAGGAGGGAGGGCAUCAGGACAAGUUCAAGGACAGUCUAAAGCAGACAGUGUGGAGGAAGCUGAGGUCUCUGUGACCGGGAUCCAUGAUGGUGAGAAGGAGUGACUGAAAAGGCUCACAUGCUGCUCUUGCGGACCCGGGCUCAGGUCCAGGGCAGGCAACCAGUCCGACAUCCCAGCUGUGCCCUGGGGCUCGCUCUAAACGUUGAUGGCCUUGCCAUUCAGUGUGUGAGGGGCAGCCACAGCCAACCCUUGCUAACACCUCCUCCGUGGCAGUCCACAGAGCGCCAUCCACAUGCACGGCGCCUCCACUGACCUGUAUGUCAGCCCAGCAGCAGCCACAGGAGCUGACACCAUCAUGGUCGUAUUGACAGUCCUCAACAUCUACGGAAGGCAGCGGCCCCAUACCUGCACCUCUGCUCUGCUGUGAGUUCUGCCUGCCACAGCCCUGCCUGACUCACUAAAGCCACCUUGUCCCCGCACAGGGUGAGGCAGACUUGACAUCAGAGAAAGACCACGACCUUGGGAUGCGACUAGAGUCUGGCCGAACUGGAUGUACAGGAUGGGCCCAAGGGGCAUCCUGGAGCCCCUGUGAUGGGCCCAGCUCAGUACCAAAUCCGAGGCAAGAUCAGCUCUCUCUGCCUCAGUUUUCCUGCCCUACUGUGAGAAGACUGAGCAAUCCAUGAUCCCCAAUGGGUAGGUAUAGCCAGGGCUGGUGAAGCAUACAGGGAGAACAGGAAAGGAGGAUGGGCCGGGGCGCUCUAUCCCACGCCCCAUGUGGGGUCUUUUGCCUGUUUCCCUGGGUACAGAAACACAGAACCAUGCCCCAGAUUGCUUGUGUUUGGAAAGCCUGUCAAUCACAGCGGCAACUUAUUAAAAGGAA